CGGUAAUACGGAGGGUGCAAGCGUUAAUCGGAAUUACUGGGCGUAAAGCGUGCGUAGGUGGUUUGUUAAGUUAGAUGUGAAAGCCCUGGGCUCAACCUAGGAACUGCAUUUAAAACUGGCGAACUAGAGUAUAGGAGAGGAAAGUGGAAUUUCAGGUGUAGCGGUGAAAUGCGUAGAUAUCUGAAGGAACAUCAAUGGCGAAGGCAGCUUUCUGGACUAAUACUGACACUGAGGUACGAAAGCGUGGGUAGCAAACAGGAUUAGAUACCCUGGUAGUCCACGCCGUAAACGAUGACAACUAGCCGUUGGGGGGAUUUACCUCUUAGUGGCGAAGCUAACGCGUUAAGUUGUCCGCCUGGGGAGUACGGCCGCAAGGCUAAAACUCAAAGGAAUUGACGGGGACCCGCACAAGCGGUGGAGCAUGUGGUUUAAUUCGAUGCAACGCGAAGAACCUUACCUGGUCUUGACAUACACGGAACUUUCCAGAGAUGGAUUGGUGCCUUCGGGAACCGUGAUACAGGUGCUGCAUGGCUGUCGUCAGCUCGUGUCGUGAGAUGUUGGGUUAAGUCCCGUAACGAGCGCAACCCUUAUCCUUAUUUGCCAGCACAUCAUGGUGGGAACUAUAAGGAGACUGCCGGUGAUAAACCGGAGGAAGGCGGGGACGACGUCAAGUCAUCAUGGCCCUUACGACCAGGGCUACACACGUGCUACAAUGGGAAGGACAAAGGGUCGCAACCUCGCGAGAGCAAGCUAAUCUCAUAAACCUUUUCGUAGUCCGGAUCGGAGUCUGCAACUCGACUCCGUGAAGUCGGAAUCGCUAGUAAUCGUGGAUCAGAAUGCCACGGUGAAUACGUUCCCGGG
rnacentral:rRNA from 1 species